rnacentral:rRNA from 1 species
GACGAACGCUGGCGGCGUGCCUAAUACAUGCAAGUAGAACGCACAGUUUAUACUGUAGCUUGCUACACCAUAGACUGUGAGUUGCGAACGGGUGAGUAACGCGUAGGUAACCUGCCUGGUAGCGGGGGAUAACUAUUGUAAACGAUAGCUAAUACCGCAUAAUAUUGAUUAUUGCAUGAUAAUUGAUUGAAAGAUGCUAUUGCAUCACUACCAGCUGGACCUGCGUUGUAUUAGCUAGUAGGUGAGGUACCGGCUCACCUAGGCGACGAUACAUAGCCGAACGGAGAGGGUGGUCGGCCACACUGGGACUGAGACACGGCCCAGACUCCUACGGGAGGCAGCAGUAGGGAAUCUUCGGCAAUGGACGAAAGUCUGACCGAGCAACGCGGCGUGAGUGAAGAAGGUUCUCGGAUCGUAAAGAUCUGUUGUAAGAGAAGAACGGGUGUGAGAGUGGAAAGUUCACACUGUGACGGUAUCUUAACAGAAAGGAACGGCUAACUACGUG